GGGCCCGCACAAGCGGUGGAGCAUGUGGUUUAAUUCGAUGAUACGCGAGGAACCUUACCAGGACUUAAAUGCACAAUGACAGAUUGGGAAACCAAUCCUUCUUCGGACAAUGUGCAAGGUGCUGCAUGGUUGUCGUCAGCUCGUGCCGUGAGGUGUUGGGUUAAGUCCCGUAACGAGCGCAACCCCUAUUCUUAGUUGCCAGCGGUUCGGCCGGGGACUCUAAGAAAACUGCCAGCGCAAGCUGUGAGGAAGGUGGGGAUGACGUCAAAUCAUCACGGCCCUUACGUCCUGGGCUACACACGUGCUACAAUGGUAGGUACAAAGGGCAGCCACUUGGUGACAAGGAGCUAAUCUCUAAAACCUAUCUCAGUUCGGAUUGGAGUCUGAAACUCGACUCUAUGAAGCUGGAAUCGCUAGUAA
rnacentral:rRNA from 1 species